rnacentral:rRNA from 1 species
ACGGGAGGCAGCAGUGAGGAAUAUUGGUCAAUGGGCGGAAGCCUGAACCAGCCAAGUCGCGUGAAGGAUGAAGGUAUUAUGUAUUGUAAACUUCUUUAGCAGCAGAGUAAUAAGGGGGUCGUGACCUCCGAUGCAAGUAUGCUGAGAAUAAGGAUCGGCUAACUCCGUGCCAGCAGCCGCGGUAAUACGGAGGAUCCGAGCGUUAUCCGGAUUUAUUGGGUUUAAAGGGUGCGUAGGCGGACUGUUAAGUCAGCGGUUAAAGCGUGUGGCUCAACCAUACCACGCCGUUGAUACUGGGUCCCUUGAGUGCACAUAAGGAUGGUGGAAUUCAUGGUGUAGCGGUGAAAUGCUUAGAUAUCAUGAAGAACUCCGAUUGCGAAGGCAGCUGUCCGGGGUGUAACUGACGCUAAUGCUCGAAAGUGCGGGUAUCAAACAGGAUUAAAUACCCUGGUA